CCUACGGGUGGCAGCAGUGAGGAAUAUUGGUCAAUGGGCGCGAGCCUGAACCAGCCAAGUAGCGUGAAGGAUGACUGCCCGACGGGUUGUAAACUUCUUUUAUAAAGGAAUAAAGUGAGGCACGUGUGCCUUUUUGGAUGUACUUUAUGAAUAAGGAUCGGCUAACUCCGUGCCAGCAGCCGCGGUAAUACGGAGGAUCCGAGCGGUAUCCGGCUGUAUUGGGGUUAAAGGGAGCGUAGAUGGGUUGUUAAGUCAGUGGUGAAAGUUUGCGGCUCAACCGUAAAAUUGCAAUUUAUACUGGCAGUCUUGAGUACCGUUGAGGUCGGCGGCAUUCGUGUUGUAGCGGU
rnacentral:rRNA from 1 species